UACGUAGGGUGCAAGCGUUAAUCGGAAUUACUGGGCGUAAAGCGUGCGCAGGCGGUUUGUAAGUUUGUCGUGAAAUCCCCGGGCUCAACCUGGGAAUGGCGAUGAAGACUGCAAGGCUAGAAUCUGGCAGAGGGGGGUAGAAUUCCACGUGUAGCAGUGAAAUGCGUAGAGAUGUGGAGGAACACCGAUGGCGAAGGCAGCCCCCUGGGUCAAGAUUGACGCUCAUGCACGAAAGCGUGGGAGCAACGAGAUAGAUACCUAAG
rnacentral:rRNA from 1 species